rnacentral:rRNA from 1 species
GGAGGGCGCAAGCGUUGUUCGGAAUCACUGGGCGUAAAGCGCGUGUAGGCGGCCGAGUAAGUCGGGUGUGAAAGCCCGGGGCUCAACCCCGGAACUGCACCCGAAACUACCUGGCUCGAGUCCCGGAGAGGGUGGCGGAAUUUCCGGUGUAGAGGUGAAAUUCGUAGAUAUCGGAAGGAACACCAGUGGCGAAGGCGGCCACCUGGACGGUGACUGACGCUGAGACGCGAAAGCGUGGGGAGCAAACAGGAUUAGAUACCCUGGGUAGUCCACGCCGUAAACGUUGGGUGCUAGACGUCGGGGGUAUUGACCCCCUCCCGGUGUCGAAGCUAACGCAUUAAGCACCCCGCCUGGGGAGUACGGCCGCAAGGCUA